ACAGAAAAAGAGGAGGAAAAUCAGGGUGCAUAAAAUGUUUAGAGGAAAAACGCAUGAACAACUAUUUAUACUAGAAAAUUAAAGCCAAAUAUAUAACAAAUCAUACUUAAAAUCUGAUCUUAUGACAAUAUAAAUAGUUUGAAACCCUACUUUAACAAAAACCCGCAAAUCUUGAAAACUAUCAAACUAUAAGAGCUUUUAUAAAACCCUUAAGUGUUCAAAAAUAAAUCUAAAAAGGUCAUCUAUAAAACCCUAACCAUCGGAGGCUAACUCCAUCUCUUCGUCGUCGGUCACAAAUCACAUCUGAUGACAUGAUGACAGGUCACGAGUCCGCCGGUAGCCGCCGCUCUUUGCGCCUUCGUGCAUCUCGAUGUCUCGCCGGUUGUCGUCUGGAUGUCUACCUGUCUCAAAGGUUUCAGGCUCUCACACUCUCACACUUUCUCUCAAAGGAAAUGUUAAUUGUUUGAAGGGUACAAGUGACAAAAACAAAAAAAAAAAUAAAAGAAAAAAGAAAAUGAAAAUUCGGCCAUGUGGCCACUCCAGGAGCUGACACGUGCCCCCACCCCCCCUACAUAACAAGUGUCCAACCCUUAUUGGCUGGGGUAAUUUCGUCAUUUCAGUUGUAACCUUAUCUCUUUAAAAGAAAUUGCAUGUCCGAUUUUUGGGCAAAUCCUUUAGCUUCAUCAGUCGUUCAUCUCUCGUCCUUUCCACUAUUGCUCGACCGUUGCACCCUUCACGACAUCUAAUCGCUUCUGAUUCAAAGAUGGUGACUUGCAGAUGUGGGAAUGAAGCAACGAAGAUCACUUCAUGGAUGGAUCGUAACCUUGGAAGACAAUUUUGGAACUGUAGAAGAUGUGGUUUCAUUCGAUGGUCUGAUCCCCUUAUGUGUGCUAGGGCAUUGGUGGUGAUUCCAGGUUUGAUAAGAUCAAUGAAUCGAUUGGAGGAGAGGGUCGCCAUUGUAACUGCAGAAUUAUGGAACUACCAGCUGAUGUUGUUUUGUUCAUGGGUGUUUUUUUUGGUAUUAUUUUAAUCUCUAAGUAUCUUGUCAAGGUUUGGAUGGUAAUGGAGUUUUGGUUUUUGGUUUGUAACCAUUGUAGGGUUUUUUUUAUUUUAAUCGGAUAGGAGUGUUUUUGCUUUCAGUUUAUGUAGGUGGUUUUGGAAUUGGUGUUGUUGUAUUUGGUUUAUGUAUCAGAUUAAUGUGUAAUGCAGUGGUAAUGAUAAUGGUAAUGGAAUGUAGUUUGUUAUAGUUCAUUGUUCAAUUUCUUGAAUGUUUUUGAAAUGCAAUUGUUAAGUGUAUUGUAAAUGCAUCUUGAAGAUGGUUUUCAUUUGCAAUUGAAAUGUACAAUGUUAUUAAUUGAUCUGUGAAGGGUAGUACACAAAACAUAUUAAUUCAUCACCAAAAAGUGCAUACACACCAUUACAUUCAAAGUUAUAAAGUUCGUAACACAACCAUGAUGCAAAGUUUUCAAAAGACCUACAACACAAGCAUUACAUGCAAAGUUUUCAAGUUCUUAACACAUCUUCAAACAAGUACACAUUACAUAAGUUUCUAAAUACCUACAACACCAACAUCCUAAUAACCACUAAAAAUAGUUUUCAGCCCCCUCCAACUUCACCACUGCCUCCGUACCCUUUACAUGUUCUGGAA